CAGGUUUCUUGUUGUUUGUUGCUCACUCAAGUAACAUGCAGGCAGUUCAGGUUUCUUGUUGUUUGUUGCUCACUCAAGUAACAUGCAGGCAGUUCAGGUUUCUUGUUGUUUGUUGCUCACUCAAGUAACAUGCAGGCAGUUCAGGUUUCUUGUUGUUUGUUGCUCACUCAAGUAACAUGCAGGCAGUUCAGGUUUCUUGUUGUUUGUUGCUCACUCAAUAUCUUAGACUUGGAAAAAAAGCCUUUAAAACGUGAAGCUUUCAAAAAGGUCUUACAAUUAAGUUUACCCUGCUAUUGAGCAUGAGAUCU